rnacentral:rRNA from 1 species
CUGUGAUGAGGGGAUCACCCAGUGCGUGUACGCUAUGCAUAGGCUUUUGCCGAGAGUAAAAACCACGGGGAAUAAGUGCGUGGGUCAAGACUGGUGCCAGCCGCCGCGGUAACACCAGCGCCACGAGUGGGGAUCGCAAUUAUUGGGCCUAAAGCGUCCGUAGCCUGGUAAGUAAGUCUCUGGUGAAAUCGUCGCGCUUAACGUAACGGCGUGUAGGAGACACUGGUUGGCUAGAGAUCGGGAGGGGUGGGAGGUAUUCUGGGAGGAGCGGUGAAAUCCUAUAAUCCAUAGAGGAACCACCGGUGGCGAAGGCGUUCCGACCAGAAACGGAUCCUGAACCAGGUGAGGGAACGAAAGCUCGAGGGGAAGGCCAAAUCCCGGGAAUUUAAGAAUAACCCCCGGAGGUAAGGUUCCCUGGCCCCGUAAACGACUGGCCGCAGUCUAAGGUGUAUGCGCUAUAUCCUAUCGAUGUAUAUGUCGCGAGUGCUCGAAGGCGAAAGCGCUGUUUAAAGCUCGCCCGCCCUGUUUUGCUACGAUGUCUUGCUGAUUGUCGCGGUGAAGGGAUUGCUCCUCGUUCUUUAAGAUGCUAGGAGGCGCCAACAGCAGGGACGGCAGGAAAGCACCCCAAUCGGGUCACCACACCAACGAUAUUGUCGCCACGACGACCAAGCUACGUUCUCUGAGCAUGUGAGCUUGGGGGCAACCAACUUGGUUGGGGGAACCUGGCCCUCGUGGCUAACACGAGGGAGGGAAGGGUGAUAGGGCUAACGGGUUAGGGUUCUAGUCAUGGCUCCCGGAAUUCUAUCCUGGGGCGUACAACGGCGGCGGGCAUACCAAAUGGGUACGAGGGACCAAAUGGGGUUAUCAGAACCUACCCGAAAAGGGAUGAAGUGUCAAAUCCUUCCUUAAACCCUGACCCCAUAGUCUCAGGAUUCGAGGGUUGUCAACUCAGCCCUGCGAUGACAGGACGGAAUCCCGUAGUAAUCGGCAGCGUUUCAGCAUCAGUCGCGGUGAAUAUGUACCCUGCUCCUUGCACACACCGCCCGUCAAACCAACCCGAGCAGGGUUUGAGGAUGAGUACCGAGCGUUAUUGGCCUGUGUCUCGAACUCUAA